rnacentral:rRNA from 1 species
UACGGGGGGGGCAAGCGUUGUUCGGAAUUACUGAGCGUAAAGGGCUCGUAGGCGGCCAACUAAGUCAGACGUGAAAUCCCUAGGCUCAACCUAGGAACUGCGUCUGAUACUGGAUGGCUUGAAUCCGGGAGAGGGAUGCAGAAUUCCAGGUGUAGCGGUGAAAUGCGUAGAUAUCUGGAGGAAUACCGGUGGCGAAGGCGGCAUCCUGGACCGGCAUUGACGCUGAUGAGCGAAAGCUAGGGGAGCAAACGGG